rnacentral:rRNA from 1 species
AUUGAACGCUGGCGGCAGGCUUAACACAUGCAAGUCGAGCGGAGCGAGGGUGCUUGCACCUUAGCUUAGCGGCGGACGGGUGAGUAAUGCUUAGGAAUCUGCCUAUUAGUGGGGGACAACAUUCCGAAAGGAAUGCUAAUACCGCAUACGCCCUACGAGGGAAAGCAGGGGAUCUUCGGACCUUGCGCUAAUAGAUGAGCCUAAGUCGGAUUCGCUAGUUGGUGGGGUAAAGGCCUACCAAGGCGACGAUCUGUAGCGGGUCUGAGAGGAUGAUCCGCCACACUGGGACUGAGACACGGCCCAGACUCCUACGGGAGGCAGCAGUGGGGAAUAUUGGACAAUGGGCGGAAGCCUGAUCCAGCCAUGCCGCGUGUGUGAAGAAGGCCUUUUGGUUGUAAAGCACUUUAAGCGAGGAGGAGGCUACUUAGAUUAAUACUCUAGGAUAGUGGACGUUACUCGCAGAAUAAGCACCGGCUAACUCUGUGCCAGCCGCCGCCGUAAGAC